AUGACGGAGUGGUUAAGAAAUAACAUCCGACCCCUUAACCAAGUAGAAGAAUACAUGAAGCAGACAGCCAUCCACAGAGCUAAGUGGAUAAGGGAGCAUGGGUCAAAGACAGUGGAGGAGGUCAAAAAAGAGCAUCCACGUCUUUUGGAUACUCCAGGAAUGAUUGCUCAGGACUUUGCCAUUCUACACCCAGCCUGUGCUGGGAAACUUGGAUAACUGGCAGAAAAGUGGAUGCCCGUUUUCAGAGACAGAAAUUUAUGGUUUGCUAGCCAGGAGAAGCAAGCUUCUGGAAUUCUUUCAAGACUGGAUUCUGUGUGUGCAGAUGCGCAAGGUGACAGGGCUGUGAGAUUAUUGCCAGUAGUCCUACCAGCUUCUGUCUAUAGGAUUCUGCCGGAAGACCUUCCGUCUGAGCUGUGAAGAGACAAGAAAGUCAUUCAUUGAUCUACAGCCUACGGAAAAAACCUGAGCUCGCUACGGAAAUUCCUGAGCGGUACCGUGUGACGUCACUGGUGGACAACAGUGAACAGCGCCGCAGUACAACAGCAUUAUGACUGACUGGGACUGAGGAUUUUCCAGCGCUGGUUCUUCAGAUUCUGAUGAUAAUUUGAAAGAGCUGUAAUGUAGAAAUAGACCACCUUAUCACUUAGUCCUGAGACUUUUAGUCAAACCACACCCACAAAAGCAGCUCAUCCUGAGUGUAAACAGUAUCAUGACAACAGCCUAGCAACCAGCUAAACUCAAAUAUAGAGGUACAGUUAUUGUCGUAAAAUUUGCUGGUUUGCUUACACCUCCAUAUUGUUGGAACAGCGCCAGUCUUAAGAUCCAGUUGAAAAAAGUCACAUUUUAUUAGCAGUCUACCUCAAUUUAACAGCAUUUUUAACUGUUUCUCACUAUGCUGAGGUUUUUAUUUUAUUAAUUUCUCAAGCAAAAGAAA